GACGAACGCUGGCGGCGUGCUUAAUACAUGCAAGUCAUAGGGGCUAAUUUCCUUCGGGAGAUUGGUCACUGGCGCACGGGUGCGUAACGCGUAAGUUAUCUGCCCUUGGGUCUGGCAUAACGUCGGGAAACCGGCGCUAAUUCCAGAUGAUAUCGUAAGAUCAAAGCCUUCGGGCGCCCAAGGAUGAGCUUGCGUCUGAUUAGCUUGUUGGCGGGGUAAUGGCCCACCAAGGCAACGAUCAGUAGCCGGUCUGAGAGGAUGAUCGGCCACAUUGGGACUGAGACACGGCCCAGACUCCUACGGGAGGCAGCAGUAAGGAAUAUUGCGCAAUGGACGAAAGUCUGACGCAGCAACGCCGCGUGCAGGAUGAAGGCCCUUUGGGUUGUAAACUGCUGUAGAAAGGGAAUAAUAGUUUGCCACGGGUGAACUUGAAGGUACCUUUAAAGUAAGCGCCGGCUAACUACGUGCCAGCAGCCGCGGUAAAGUCUGUACU
rnacentral:rRNA from 1 species